ACUUACAGAUGGACCCGCGGCGCAUUAGCUAGUUGGUGAGGUAACGGCUCACCAAGGCAACGAUGCGUAGCCGACCUGAGAGGGUGAUCGGCCACACUGGGACUGAGACACGGCCCAGACUCCUACGGGAGGCAGCAGUAGGGAAUCUUCCGCAAUGGACGAAAGUCUGACGGAGCAACGCCGCGUGAGUGAUGAAGGUUUUCGGAUCGUAAAGCUCUGUUGUUAGGGAAGAACAAGUGCGAUUGACGGUACCUAACCAGAAAGCCACGGCUAACUACGUGCCAGCAGCCGCGGUAAUACGUAGGUGGCAAGCGUUGUCCGGAAUUAUUGGGCGUAAAGCGCGCGCAGGUGGUUCCUUAAGUCUGAUGUGAAAGCCCACGGCUCAACCGUGGAGGGUCAUUGGAAACUGGGGAACUUGAGUGCAGAAGAGGAAAGUGGAAUUCAUGUAGCGGUGAAAUGCGUAGAUAU
rnacentral:rRNA from 2 species